rnacentral:lncRNA from 1 species
GUUUGAUCACAGAAGUGAGAGUUGUUUGUUAUCGCUGAAGCUUGUUUGACGAUUGCAGAAAUGUGGUAAUCUUCUUCCUUGGCUUGUAAGGUGUAACCCCUGAGAAGGAUCUCCAUUCUCCACCCUCUGAGACUUCAGUCUGAAACUGUCAACUACCUGGCCAGCCAGGGUGCAGGUUAGCUGGGCGAUAUGGGAAAAAAUAUUGCAAUAAAUUGCCUGAAUUGGUGCAAUAUCGAUAAAUAGAAUGAUAUUUUUAUAACAUUGUGCACCACAGUUUGUUUAUUCUACUACUACUAGUUUGAUGGUUGUAGCCAUCAAUUGUUCCACUAACAAUCAGUCAUAUUUGCACAUUUAUUUCACUUCAAACUUAACAUUUCUCAUGUGCAGGCUACUUAUCUUAAUGAACGAUGUCAGCAAAAUGCCUGCGGUAAGUGAUCAGGAUGGUCGGUGUCGAUAAUUUUCGGUUUAUCAUCCCAGCUCUAGUCCAGGGUCCUUAUCCACCCACAACUCAGGCAGAGAGUCCAUCUACUGGAGAGCUCCCUGGUUCAGUGCCCCUGAGGGCUGGGACCAGCACUCUGGGCCAGAAGCAGCUGUGAAGGGAUGGGGUAGUAGCUGAGGACAGAGCCAUGGUUCAUAACGUCUCAGUCCCCCAAACACCACCGCCGGCACUGGUGGGCACCAAUGGCCGCUCCUCUGGUAGGAAGAGGACACCCAAGGCAUGUGACUGCUGUGGGCCAAACUCUAAGCACCACAAUGGGAAGGACCCACAUGGGAAGACUCCGGGUGGCAAGCCCAGACAACGCAGGGCCCAGCCGGGGAAGGGCAGGGGCCAGGCACUGGGGGAGACCCCCAAGAGGAUGGGUGGUCACCACUCUUCUGAGAAGACCCUGAUGACAGAGGAGCAGGUAACAGCCAUCCAAGAGGAGCUGGAGAAAGACUCAGUUGUGGAGGAGGUAACCAACUCCUUGGCUCCACCUGUAACCAACUCUGUCGGUCAACCUGUAAUGAAUGUUGUGGCUCAACUUGUAACCAACUCUGUCGGUCAACCUCAACCUUUAACAGACUAUAUGGGUCAACCCUUAAUGAACUCUAUGGGUCAGAAGUUAACGUACACUGUGGUUAAACUGGUGACCAAGUCUGUGGUUCAACCGGUAACAACUGCUAUGGUUCAACCGGUAACAUACUCUGUGGAUCAACCUAUAAUGAAGGCUGUGGUUGAGCAUGUUCCUGAUUCAGAGAUGGAGCAGGAGAAUGGUUGUGA